CCUGCUCCUGUUGUGGCUGCUACUGGCUGGGACGCCGCGGUGCAACCCCCUGCUCAAGGCUGGGAGUAGACUAGGAUGUCCCCUUGAGAUGUCUUUGCGGCUUAAAGUUCAUAUUUUGUGAGGCAUGAAUGGAUAUCUAGAAUCUGAUGCGAUCUGCUAUAUCUACCCUAUGGACAAAAAACCCGUGUUUUAGGAUUUUCUAGAUGAACUUGUUAUCUCUGCUAUCGACACUGUGAUGAGGGAGAGGGAGACUGAAAGUUGUGUUAUAAGUUUGGCUUUCAACUUGUCUGUCUUAAUUUUGCAGUUCUUAUACUUGAUGUUUCUAUGCAUUUUUGCUGGCUGUAUCAAUGCUUGCUGUUUGGUG
rnacentral:lncRNA from 1 species